rnacentral:rRNA from 1 species
AUUGAACGCUGGCGGCAGGCCUAACACAUGCAAGUCGAGCGAGCGGCGGACGGGUGAGUAAUGUAUGGGGACUGCCCGAUAGAGGGGGAUAACUACUGGAAACGGUGGCUAAUACCGCGUACGGUCGGAUAACCCAUAUGGGGUUAGCUAGUGGGGAAGGUAAUGGCUUACCUAGGCGACGAUCCCUAGCUGGGCUGAGAGGAUGAGCAGCCACACUGGGACUGAGACACGGCCCAGACUCCUACGGAGGCAGCAGUGGGGAAUAUUGCACAAUGGGCGCAAGCCUGAUGCAGCCAUGCCGCGUGUAUGAAGAAGGCCCUAGGGUUGUAAAGUACUUUCAGUCGGGAGGCGUUACCGACAGAAGAAGCACCGGCUAACUCCGUGCCAGCAGCCGCGGUAAUUC